rnacentral:rRNA from 1 species
ACUCCGAUUGCGCAGGCAGCUUACUAAACUACAACUGACGCUCAUGCACGAAGGCGUGGGGAUCAAACAGGAUUAGAUACCCUGGUAGUCCACGCAGUAAACGAUGAUUACUAGUUGUUUGCGAUACAAUGUAAGCGACUGAGCGAAAGCGUUAAGUAAUCCACCUGGGGAGUACGUUCGCAAGAAUGAAACUCAAAGGAAUUGACGGGGGCCCGCACAAGCGGAGGAACAUGUGGUUUAAUUCGAUGAUACGCGAGGAACCUUACCCGGGCUUGAAAUGCAUCCGACCGGCGCCGAGAAGCGCCUUCCCUUCGGGGCGGAUGUGUAGGUGCUGCAUGGUUGUCGUCAGCUCGUGCCGUGAGGUGUCGGCUUAAGUGCCAUAACGAGCGCAACCCUCAUCAUUAGUUACUAACAGGUCACGCUGAGGACUCUAAUGAGACUGCCAUCGUAAGAUGCGAGGAAGGUGGGGAUGACGUCAAAUCAGCACGGCCCUUACGUCCGGGGCGACACACGUGUUACAAUGGGUGGUACAAAGGGCAGCUACAUGGCGACAUGAUGCCAAUCUCCAAAACCACUCUCAGUUCGGAUCGGAGUCUGCAACUCGACUCCGUGAAGCUGGAUUCGCUAGUAAUCGCGCAUCAGCCACGGCGCGGUGAAUACGUUCCCGGGCCUUGUACACACCGCCCGUCAAGCCAUGGAAGCCGGGGGUACCUGAAGUCCGUAACCGUCAAGGAGCGGCCUAGGGUAAAACUGGUAACUGGGGCUAAGUCGUAACAAGGUAACC